rnacentral:misc_RNA from 1 species
GAUGAAGAACGUAGCGAAAUGCGAUAAGUAAUGUGAAUUGCAGAAUUCAGUGAAUCAUCGAAUCUUUGAACGCACAUUGCGCUCGCCAGUAUUCUGGCGAGCAUGCCUGUUCGAGCGUCAUUUCAACCAUCAAGCUCUGCUUGGUGUUGGGUGUUUGUUCCGCCUCUGUGUGUGAACUCGCCUCAAAACAAUUGGCAGCCGGCGUACUUGUUUCGGAGCGCAGCACAUUUUGCGAUCCAGAUCAACGUACAGCGGCAUCCAAGAAGCCUUAUUUAACGCUCUUGACCUCGGAUCAGGUAGGGAUACCCGCUGAACUUAAGCAUAUCAAUAAGCGGAGGA